GGUAGCCGGCCUGAGAGGGCGACCGGCCACACUGGGACUGAGACACGGCCCAGACUCCUACGGGAGGCAGCAGUGGGGAAUAUUGGGCAAUGGAGGAAACUCUGACCCAGCGACGCCGCGUGCGGGAUGAAGGCCUUCGGGUUGUAAACCGCUUUCAGYAGGGAAGAAGCGAAAGUGACGGUACCUNCARAAGAAGCACCGGCUAACUAUGUGCCAGCAGCCGCGGUAAUACAUAGGGUGCAAGCGUUGUCCGGAAUUAUUGGGCGUAAAGAGCUCGUAGGUSGUUNGUNACGUCGGAUGUGAAAAYCUGRGGCUCAACCYCWGRCCUGCAUUCGAUACGGGCRANCUAGAGUKUGGUAGGGGA
rnacentral:rRNA from 1 species